UCUCAUGGAGACUUUGAACAACAAUCCCUGAUUCUAAAAAAGAACUUAAUAGGGAGAGGCUAUCCAUAUAAAGUAGUAGAAGAUAACUAUAAAAAAGCUUCAUGCCAAAACUGUUCAGACCUUUUACAACCUACACGAAGAGCAUCCUCUGAACGACUUCAAUGCCACCUGACCUAUGACCAUGUCACUAACAGGUUACAGAAUACCAUCCGCAAAUAUUGGCACAUAGUACAGCACAUCCCUGGAUGUAUGGAGAAGCCGAUGAUUUCUUUCAAAAGAACUAAGAACCUGAAGGACAUAUUAAUAAGAAGCACUUUCAGAGAGAACCUGCAGCGAACCAGGACCAUAUCUGGCACAAAUGCCCCUGCAGGACACCAUCCCUGUAGGCACUGCACCUAUUGUAGAUAUAUGCAGAAAAAGAAGGGGUUCACUAAUCCCAUUAAUCAGAAGGAAUAUAUGGUAAAACGCUUAUCUACAUGUAAUACUCCCAACGUUAUAUAUAUCAUUCAAUGCAGCUGUCCAAAGCUGUACGUAGGACAGACCAGCAGAGUUCUAAAAAAAACAAAUUGGUGAGCAUAUAAGCAACAUCAAGAAUAAUAGGGUGGGAGCUCCUUUGACUGAACAUUACAUCAAUUGCAGACAUUCUCUGACAGACUUCAGUUUUUGGGCGGUUGAAAAGGUAAACGCACAAAGCACACAAAUUUUACUAAGGAGAGAAUUGGCUUGGAUCUUAGAACUUGAUACUCUAACUCCGAGCGGCAUGAACGGUGAGCUGGAAUUACUUCCCCUCCUGUGAGUCUCAUACUUUAGAGACGUUCCCUUGCUUACAGCUGUAGUCUAUCUCUCGGCCUCAGAACUUGCAGGCAAUUGAAUGCAAAGAUUUAAGAUUGGGCUUGCGGCCAAGAAAAACACUUGGACAUUUUCCUCAAUAAAAAAGAAUCUUUGGCUACACUGCUUGAAAUCCCUUCAGAAAAAAGUUAUUUUUUCCCUUCGAUCUCCCUAGACACAACUAUAUUCUUUUGUGGAAUCUCCAAACAAUAGUCCACCUAUUUCAGACCAGCUGCUGACAGAAACCAUGAAAGCUUAGAUGACUACAGUGUUUGCCAUACAGAUUACAUCGUCCUUCAUCCUGCUUGUAUGAACUCUGAGCCCUCUAGAACAAUUCCUAGAAAUGCUCUGCAACUGGCAGGAGUCAAUGGGGAAAGAGUUCUCUGAAGCUGUGAAAGUUGAAAAACAACUUAAUUGCACUUUGUGUACUAUAGAUUUUCAUUCUCAGUAGCAACCUAAGCUGAGACUGCAAUUGAAAUUGCUAGCAGGGCCAGUCCCAAGAUCUUUUGGUAUCUCUGGCAGAAAAUCUAUAUGAUGACCAUUCCUUGCAGUGUUUUUUUUUUUUUUAAAUCUGAAUGUGCCCAAGGUAGUCAGCGUACCCUGAUUACCAACCUGCAUUCUGUUUAUUUUAUUACUUAUACGUGCAUCCUACAUUUCCUCCAAGGAUACAUAGAUUAUACCACUUUAGACUCACAAACCUAUGAAAAAAGAAAUGAGUACCCAAUGAGAUUAAAAAGUGAGCAGGAAUUUGAGUGCAGUUGUCCCCAGCCCAGGAUAGACAGUAUAUCUCUCUGUUACACUGUUUUCAUCAUAUAUGGCUUAGCACUCCUAUGGUCUUAUGGACCAAAAAUCUAAAGUUCUGGUGAAGAAUUUGCUGUCUUUGUAGCCACCACAGAAAUGUAACUAUAUUUGUUCAAUACUGCUAUCCUACAGCAAGUGCAGGAGGCAACCGUUGGUACAGCAGUGCCCAUGGCUGCUUCGUUUGCAAUUUACAGACAGAGUGACACAAAUAAAACACAACUUUAUGGUUAUUUUAUUUGAUCCAAUAAAACAAUUCAAACUUGUAAAGCUUUCUAAAACUUUGUUGUGUCCAAGAGGCGA